GUGCUUGCUUUGGCGCACAGACACUAAAACUGGAACUACAGAGGGAAGAUCUGCAUGACCCCUGGGCAAGGAUGACACCAUUGUGCAAGAUCCCCUUAAAAAAAAA
ensembl:snRNA U6 U6 spliceosomal RNA